CAAAAGAAAAGGAGAAGCGGCAGCGAGAGAAAAGAGGAAAAGCAGUCAGACCUAGCCCGCGCCCCCGUAGCCGCCUCCUCUCCUGCCGCCGCCGCCUCGGCCUUGUUCGCCUCCUCUCCUGCCGCCGCCACCGCCUUGGCCUCGGCGCCCGUGCUCUCCCGGCGCCCGUCGGCCUCGAUCCGGCCUCAGCAGGAGGAGCUCGGCCUCGAGACUCGGGAGGAGGAGCUCGCCCUCGAGUAGGACUCAACAGGAGGAGGGGAGCAGCAGCUGCGCCCCAUGCUCUCUCGCCACCCUCGAGGUGAAGGUAAUGGAUGAAAUCCCAUGGACGAGCUCGAGCUGGAAGGACGCGGACGGCAGCGGCUUGGACCAACAUCGUCCUGCCGGUGCCUUGCCGGUGAGCGCCACACAUGGUGCAGCAGGCGGCAGGCACGACUUUGGGAGCUGCGCAUCGAGCGACGACUACUGCAUCUGCCGCCAGCACCAAGCCAAGAUGUAGAGCGGUGGUCGACGGCGGCAACCUGCUCCCAAGUUGCAAGUGAUGUUGCCAGAUAGCAGUAUACCAAGGGUUCUAAGAAUUUGAUUCAUAAAUGUAGCCAAGAUGCAGCGCGGUGGUCGACGGCGGCGGCCUGCUCCCAAGUUGCAGGUUGCUAAUGCUGUUCAAACAGGUGCGUGCAUGGACAUCUUCAUGAUUACUGAUUAUAAGAUCUUCAUGAUUACUGAUUAUAAGUGAACACACGUAUCUUCUCUCGAGGUUCUGAGUGUUGAGAGUGGUUGCUCAUUGUUUCUGUAUUCAAAUACUGAUGAAUCAACACUUCGAAAAGAUAUACUGAUGGCCAAAGAAGAUUGGGGAAGUUCCACUAUGUUCCUACAGACUGUUGGCCAAAAAAGAUUGGGGGAAAAUAGCUCUGGAGAAGGAUUGAGAUGAAAAUGGGAUUGUGAUCUCACUUCGCAAUGCAUUGAAGAAUCAUGAUAAUUUUUACAGGCUGUUCUUUCUUUAGUACCAAUGAAUAACUUGGUUACACAAUAUACUUGAAGAUUGCAUUAGGAACAAAAUGCUUAGCAGACCAAACUAAUUAGUUUUCUGGAGACAGACUACUCUUGCAUCAUUAUGUGCAACCCACAGGUAUCUCACUCGGCGAGACAUGCACACCUAUGCCACAUCUUUACAUGUAAGUUUGUUUUGCUUAGCCAUGGACAGUGAGGUCCCCCUUCUCUUCAUUCCCAGUUCAUUUAUUUAAUAUCAAUAUCUUUACUCUAGGAUUUAUGUCCUUGCCAACUCUACAAUUGUUCAUUGCACACUCAGAGUCUAGAUAUUGAAUUAGCUACUUUUGCGAUCCCUGGACUAUACGAGUCAAGUAUUUCUGGAUUGCCCAUUUUUCAGCUGAGUUAAGGCUUUUUCUAUUGUUUGCAAAUGAAAAUUAUUUGAUGUACCCCUGGUAUGAUACAAGAAGAGUUUGCUCUUUCCCUUUGUAAAAUUUUCUGCACACGAUGUUGUCGAGGAUGAUUUCAGAAUUUAUAUGCUCAUUGCUUCCAUUGCUUCUUUCCCCAUUAACUGAUAUUAGACAGUGGUCUAUAAAUGUUGCACCUGACUCUGUUUUCCAAGGAAAUACGAAUGAAGUUAUAGUACUUGCAAACUGCGACUCUUCGCUGAACAAGAAAAGUAAAAAUGAUAACAUAUCAGGCAGUAAAAUUACAUGGCUGAUCUCUGUUUUGUGCAUGUCAGGUGAGCAUUAUGAGUUGUUCUACUUCCCUUAAGAGAGUGUACUUUCCUCUCAUCAGAUGCUCACUCUGGAAUAAACAAAUCUUUUGGGAUGUAACCUGUUCUUAGUUUUGAUGCCUUACCGUCUGCCUUCUCCUCUCCUUUAUGUUGUUUUUUGUAAAUUAUUUGUCUAGGCUACUACCAUAACUUGUUGGUUUAGUUUAGGUGUGUAGGAAAAAUUUGCAGAUGAAUCACGCUAUCAGGUUUAGGCGUGCACAUGGCCACUAAUAAUAAUAAAAAUUGAUAUUUGAUGAAGCCAUCAUCAUGUCAUGUAAUUACUUGCAGAACAACUAUAUUAUUUUUUGGGGCGGUAAAGCGGAAACGAUAGGACUCUGCAACUCAUGUGAGUGUUGUUUGAUUAUUUACUUUUUCAAGCGUGUGGAUGUCGUUGGCAUGUUUAGUAUACGCACGAAGAUAUGCAAAGUGUAAAAAUGGUUUCCUGGGAACGUCAUAUUUUUUUCUCCGGGGAACGAAUGAACUGUUCGUCAGGGAGCGAUCACUCCACCGAACGUUUUUGUUCGAUCUGGGGGAGGAGCUGGAGCGGACGAUUCACCCCAGGCCCCCAUGCAAACAGUUGCCCAUGCAGGCAAAAACAGAACCCUGACUGGGCCUUUACGACCUCCAAUUAGGCCAAAAAAUGGCCCAGUUUUUUGUGACGCCUCAACACUUGGGUCAUCACUCGAGGUUAUCGCUUUUGAGUUUCAGGUGAUAUUUUUUUAAUUGAUUUUUAGGAAAUCAUGAUGCUAAAUAUAUGGAUUGUGUCAGUUAGCUAAUCUAUUGGCUCUUUGAUGUGUAUGAUGACAUGAUGGCAAUGAAAAUACAUUUUCGAACUGAAAGUAUUUGUGUAGUUUAAUUUUGACAGAGUAUAGGAGCAUACUCAAUGUCUUCCGCUUUGUGUAUGAUGGCGGCUUUUCUUGCUUAUAGUAAUCAGCUAAAUAAAUAUGUGGGCAUUUAAAAAUAUCUUUGCAAUUAGGCCAGGCGUGAGAAAAAAAUAUUCAAAGACGACGAUCUCUUUUGGUGUAUUUCUAUUCUCCCUGUUCCAAAUCUUUUUGUUUGGAUGCCACCGGCACACCACAUGUUGUUCUGAAGAUAUCAUGCUAUGGGACUUUUCAGCAGAAUAAAAACAAAAGGAAGCUAUGGUGUUACUUGCAUCUCAGUUUUCACAUUCUUCUCAGGUUUCACAAAAACAUAAACAUGAUCGGAUGGGCGUCCUUGCCGGCGACCUCGCUAUCUCCAACCCAUCCACAGGUAUUGCAGCUCCUUCUCAUCCAAUUUAUUCACUUUUCGUCCUCUUUGCUGUGAUUUGGUGGUUGAAAUUAAUUCGUCUGGAUAGGGAGGAGCAAUUCACUAAUCAUUUACACCAUGUAUACUUCAUUUUAUUUCAUGUAUAAUCUGUAUAAGAAAGAAAAGUGGGGUAGCUCCUCCGUUUCAGUGCUUUAGCCUGAAAAAUAUUGAGUUUCCCUUCAGAUAAUUUGAGUGAUGUUGAUAUGAUAGUUAAUCAUAUAACCUCCAUUUCAUGUAUAACAUUACUUGAAAAUUUAUAGCAUGUGGAUCACCACAAAGAAUAAUCUCCCUUUAGAUAAUUUGAGUGGAUACCCAUUUGAUAGUUAAUCAAUUAUGCUAAUAACGAGGGCGUCCGGACCAAUCUGCCUGCCUCCAAGAGCGCCUUUUUUAGGGGUAUCAUGACAACCUGUGUAUUUCCUGUGAUAGGUUGAUGUAGUAGAUCUGAAUUUAUGGGAUUGGUUCUGAAAUUUGGGAUUCGGUGACUCUGCAUUUUAGAGUAGCGGCAUAAAGCUAUAAGAAUACCCAUGUUCUGAAUUUAUCUUUAGCCUAUGCUUCAGUUCAGGUGCAUUCUUCUUGAUUGUAGUCGGUGUUGUGUUGCUCCUGCGAUAAGUUGUUAUUUGGAUUUACGGUAUUAAGUUACCUCUUUCUCUAUUUGUUUUGUUUGGUGCUUGUCUUGCCAUAGAAAUUGCGCACCUGAACAUGCCCUUUUUUGUACCAUUUUUGCAAUAUUCAUCAAAAGAACAUAUGCAAUUUACUGAUUCUGUAUACCUUGUUCGAUCAGUGUUGUCAUGGUUCGCCUUCUCCUUCAAAUAAGUUUAUCAUGCCCUAUUAGUUUGCAUCUCGUGCUGGUUUGUGCUUAGAUAAUCCCUUUAGGUGUGUAAGUUCUACACAAUCAUAUGACUUAUAGAAUGCCAAAAUCUUCAGACCUUUUCUUCCGUAGUUUCGCCAAAAUGUACUAUGGUAACUGCAGGCAUAAAUCCAUGGUUUGCAUACUUCAAUGGCCCAUCUGCUUGUUAUUUUAAUGCAUCCUCUCUUGAUUCAUUUUCGUUUGACUGGAUCUCCUCGCCUUGUCAUCUGAUUGCUCUUCGUUUGCUGAUCUGCUUACCAAGGUUGGUGUUUGCUCUUUAGAAUUCCCUAUUACUCCCGGUCUUUCGUAUUGGGUGCCUAUUUCAAUUUCACUUUAUGAAGUAUUUCACUGAUUACAUAUAUAUCGCCUAUCUCACAACGAGUUCACCUUCUGUACCUACUUUGGUGAACACAUGUAUUUCAUCUAUCUCACUCAUUGUCGUGCCUACUUCAGUUUCACAUAUCUAAAUAUGUGUGAUCUGGUCACCUUAGGUUGAGUUACAUGCAUUCUGUUGCACACUCUUUUUUCGAUCUAUUUCGCCCUAUAGGAUGCAUUUGUUUUUCUUGUUCUCCUUUUGUUCUUGUGCCAUUUUCAUAACUGGGAUCAUAACACUCACUCUUUUUUGGGUGUAAUAUAUGGUCACCCAGAAAAUACCAAAGGAAGUAGCUCGUCGUUUGAAUAUCCCAAGCACGGACUGGUGGGACUACAGUUUGGCAAACAACGCUUCACUAGCUAGGACCGAGUAUGACGAACAAUCACAUGAUGUCUGCAUCUUGAUUAACAUGGAUACAAUAAAUUUCUCCUAAAAACAGGACUUGAGGUUGGUAUGGAUGUCCUGCUUACAUUCAAGAUGAACGUUGGCAAUGAUCUGUACAUGAUAGUUUGCUUCGAUGACAUCUGAGAGGUUUAUAGGUCCUAAUUGAGGUUGUCUUCAGUUCAUUAGUUUUUAUCUCUGCUAUGUUAGCUCUUUUGUGAGGGUCCAGUUUGCUGACCACCUUAGAAGAAACACGCACUUAGAUCAAAAGAUUUUCUUAUGUUAGGAGGUUUCCAUCCAAUCUUCUGAAGAUAGUUUGUUAAUAUAUGUGAUCAUGUACCAUGUGUUCCAUUGCAUAUGACAACUUUGUAUUGGACAUAUGUGGCCAAAGAUCUAUACUGAAACAUCUUGAGAAAUCAUCAGGGAGAAUACUAUGAAUGAGAAUGGACUAAGAGAUUGUGAUACACCUUCCUUUAGGUGCAUUUUCAUUCAGAUGGUGAUCCAGGUUUGUUGGAGCAGUACAUGCUAACCACCAAUUUGUUUUCUGAUCUUUUUAGUACAAGGCUUUACCAAACUAUCAAUUGAAGUGCAGGUCAACCAAGACUUCAUAUACAUAGGCUGAAAGAUGAAAACUAAAGACCAUGGAGAAGAUCACACCAUCUUUAUCCCAGGAAAAACAACUGCAUGGUCACUUGACUUUAUAGACAACACGCUGCACUAUUAACUUUGGUUUAAUUGAUCGACAAUGCGUCUUUGUUAUUAGUUAUAUACUAAGGAACAUGCCUAUGAGUAUAUACUUAGGCUAUGUGUGAGACCAGAUUGUUAACAUAAUACUCUUAGUGAACCCCUAAUUUAUGUUGUCCCUAUGCUUUGGGAGGUUGCAGCUGACAUCCUCGACAAAAUACCUCCUUAACAAUCGUUCCCGCUUUUCUUUACUUGAAAUUGUUUCUCUGCUCUAGGUGCAAGGAUCUGGGAUAGGUGUAUUUAGUUCUGCAAUGGCGAUGACACAUGUAAAUUAAACCAUUUGUUGUUUGUAUGUUGGAUCUUCCUAAAAACCAGAGGAUGUAUUUUUCACAGGAAAUAAACUUUGUAUUGUCAAACUUAGUUGAAUAACUCCCAGAUUUUAUCUACUUCACUGUUUUUGUGACACUCAUAGGCUGUUUGAUAAUAGGCCUAAAAACCUAGAUGUCUGAUAAUAGGCCUAAAAACCAAGAUGUUUGAUAAUAGGCCUAAAAACCAAGAUAAACUGAUGUUUUCACACCUUUGCUUUGCAUCUGUUUUGACCAGAAGAAAUUGCUUACAGAGUACCUUUCUUACAAAACCUUUCCUCUGCAAUUGUAUUAAGUUACUUUUGAUACCAAACUUUUGUUCUAACCUCAUUAGCAAACCUGAUGACCUGAUCCAAUUACUUACCUGUGUAAAGUGCAAACUUGUGUGCUCACUACCUAUUCUUCUCUUACUGGAGAUGCAUUCACCUGCGUUCCAUUCAAGAAACAGAUAGAUGUUACUAAUUCUAUCCAUGGUGAUUGCAGGCAUAGUUAACUUAUCCUUUGUGUAGUAUGAUUAUUAUACACACUCUUUUCAUUUCUGUUUUCUCCUCCUAAGCCAUUUAUUCUGUCUACCGCAGGUUGCUUGGUGUCCUCUCAUCGUGUCUAUUGGUGCAGUAUCACAUAUCCUCUCUCGAAGAGAUGAGAUAAGGAUUACAGGGCUACCAACAACCCACCUCACCUAUAAUGGAAGACAUCCUGAUUCAUUGUUGCAAGCUAGAGAACAAUAACUAUCAUGUUGGUGAUUUCCUUGAUAUAUGGUUCUACACGUGUGUCAUAUGGACCAAUGAAAGCAAAGAUAUUCCGGAGAUAAUAACUAUAUGGGCUACUCCAAAUGGAGUGGCAGUGGAACCAACACCUUUUAUAGGCCUUCAAGUACCUGUGUGGAAGUCUACCAUGCAAGCAUUAUCCGACGACUAACACUUUCCUUAUGUGUACAUAUCCUCUGAAGACCACAACCAGACUAAGAAGAUGUCUAAAUAAGCUGUGAGGCUGCCUAUAUAUAAGUCUAUUUCUGUAAAUUGAUAUCAGUUAUUCUACUAUCUGUAAACCAAUUUAAGUCAUUCUACUGUCUGCAAUACAAUCCACAUUGCAUUA